rnacentral:rRNA from 1 species
UACGGAGGAUCCGAGCGUUAUCCGGAUUUAUUGGGUUAAAGGGAGCGUAGGUGGAUUGUUAAGUCAGUUGUGAAAGUUUGCGGCUCAACCGUAAAAUUGCAGUUGAAACUGGCAGUCUGAGUACAGUAGAGGUGGGCGGAAUUCGUGGUGUAGCGGUGAAAUGCUUAGAUAUCACGAAGAACUCCGAUUGCGAAGGCAGCUCACUGGACUGCAACUGACACUGAUGCUCGAAAGUGUGGGUAUCAAACAGG